AUGUUGACCAAUGAGUCAGGUACAGAGUACCUGAUACUGAGCUUCCAGUUAUUUACAUUUCAAAAACAGAGAGCCCAAGGGGGCCUUCCGUGGUGGUUGGAGAGCUCGGGGGUGGGGGCACAGUUUGUGUACUGUGUGACAUUCCGCUGGAGGAAUGGAAGGAAAUUCCACCGGAACUCCGGCACCACAUUCUAUCUUAAGUAUUUACUCAGUCUGCGACUAUCUAUUAAACAACCAAAGGGCACCAGGUAUUUGCUGUGAACUGAGGAUAUUCUGGUCAACAAAUCCAAGAGGCACUUACAGGUCACUGGGAGAAUAAAAGGCAGUGGAAGCAGCAGCAGCUAAAGAAAAGAAAGAAAGAAAGAAAGAAAAAGACUAAUGAAAGAAAAUAUCAAAAGAAAUACCAGAAGGCAGCCACAUCAUCUGCUGCUCUGUAAGAUGACUUCUCGGCGGUGUGUCUCCCCACAUAGCAAUGCUUCCUUCUACUUUCCUUCUAGUGUUCUCUAUUGUAAUCGGGAGUUAAGGGCUGUGUCCUGCACCAUGCCAGGCAGGCUGACCAGGACACCCAUGAGCAGCGACUCGUGGAGAGCAGCUUGCUGUUGGCUUCAGGUGAGUCAGCAAUCACCAGGCGGUCCAGGAGGGUGCCCCAAAGAGAGAGGAGGCCACGGCCCCAGCCCUCGACAAGACCUCUGCCUGCGGGGGCGACGCCCAGUCAGGCACUGUCUGGCCCUCUGCCCCGUCACUGCCUGCUCCAGCCAGAUGAUCUUAUGUGCUUGCCAUCUAAAGGGGAGUUUCACCCUGCACAUUACCUGCCCCCCGCCCCCAGGCCUGUGCUCCCCAUUUCUGUCAGAGGCAUCGCCAUCCUCCCAGCUUCUAGGGUCCUAACGCCAGGCCUGUCAGGUUCCGCCUCCUGCUGGUCCUCUCUCCAGGACCCUCCCUGCCAUCCCCGAGUUGGGCGUCGCUCCCAACUGGAGCACAGGGCAGAGGAGGACCUGGCUUUCCCGCCAGCCUGUGUUUAAAUCUCAGCUCCACCAAUUACUGGCCCCACAAAAAGACAGGCUCAAGGCCUAACCCCGGCGAGUGUGACCCUAUUUGGAAACAGGAUCUAUGAAGAUCUGAUGAGUUCAGAUGUGGCCAAAUGGGAUUAGGGUAGGCUCUAAUCCAACAGGACUGGCUCCCCUGCAGACAGACUGACAUGGGGAGAAGGCCCCGUGGCAACGGACUCGUGUACCAACACGCCAAGAAUUCCAGAAAACCACCAGCAGCUAGGAAGGGGCGGGGGAGGCGCCUCCCCUACAGACUUCGGGGGGAGCACGGCCCUGCUGAUGCCUCGAUUUCUGACCUGUAGCGUACAGAGUGGUGAGACAGUUAAGUUUUUGUUGUUUUAAGCCAUCCAGUUCGUGGGACUUUAUUAAGGCAGCCUGAGGAAACUAAGACACCACGUGACCUUGAGCAAGUUCCUGAACUGCUCUAAACUUUGAUUUUCUCAUCCAUAAAAUGGGGCUAAUAAUAGUACCCACUUAGUGGAAUUGUUGAGGACAGCUCAGAAGAAUGCUUGGCCCAUGCCUGUACACAGUAAGCACUCAGGGAAAUACUAGCUACCAUAUAUCAAGGGCUUACAAUGUCCCAGGCUCUCAGCCAAGCGCUUUGAUGUUGAUUAUCCCUUAGAAUGCCACAGCAAACAAGGAAGUUGUAAAAGCCAUUAAUUCAGUUCUACUACACGAUCCUCCUUACGUUCCUUUGGAUACUAACGUUUAUAUCUAAGGGUUAUGUGUUGGUAAAAUGCAUCUGAAGAGAGAUUCUGAUUAAAGUGUGUGCCAUAUUAAGUUCUACUUUGAAAAUAAGAUGUGAUGUGUCAGUGGGCCCUACUUUGGAAUCUGUGUCCCUAAAUGUGAUGGAGUUGGACUCAGAUGUGAACUUUCUACACAUGCCUCUUCUGUCACUUUUACUGAACCUUUGGUUGGUGCUAGCGUUGGUGUAUUCUCAGGAGACUUGAAUCUCUGGACUGUCCAUGUGCCAGCUGGGCCCUGAGCCUCAGAAGAGUUGCAAUACCUACUCUCUGGNNNNNNNNNNNNNNNNNNNNNNNNNNNNNNNNNNNNNNNNNNNNNNNNNNGUGGCUCCUGUCACAGGGCAGUGCACACAUGGCAGCCUCUCCUGGCC
ensembl:lincRNA